rnacentral:rRNA from 1 species
CGACCGGCGCACGGGUGAGUAACGCGUAUGCAACUUACCUAUCAGAGGGGAUAACCCGGCGAAAGUCGGACUAAUACCGCAUGAAGCAGGGGCCCCGCAUGGGGAUAUUUGCUAAAGAUUCAUCGCUGAUAGAUAGGCAUGCGUUCCAUUAGGCAGUUGGCGGGGUAACGGCCCACCAAACCGACGAUGGAUAGGGGUUCUGAGAGGAAGGUCCCCCACAUUGGUACUGAGACACGGACCAA